rnacentral:lncRNA from 1 species
CGGCGCGGAGCGAACCGAGACGGUGUCCCAUGAUGGUUCCCCUUCUCACAGUGCAGCCCAGGCCACUGGAAGGUGAGACACUGCUGUAAGUGUUCAGAUGAGACGAUCAGUGCCAAAGGAGAUUUUCUGCACCAGCUGCAUCCCAGCACUGUGCUGGGGCUGGGGGCCCCUCGAGCCACAGCCACCGCAGACCCGUAUGUGGUUUGUCACUGCAUCCCUCCAAGCAGAUGUGGUGUUCAGCAGCAGUUACAGAGACAGGCGAGGGGAAGGAACACACGCAG